rnacentral:rRNA from 1 species
ACGAUGAAGAGUUUGAUCCUGGCUCAGGAUGAACGCUAGCGGCAGGCUUAACACAUGCAAGUCGAGGGGUAGAGGCUUUCGGGCCUUGAGACCGGCGCACGGGUGCGUAACGCGUAUGCAAUCUGCCUUUCAC